AACGAACGCUGGCGGCAGGCUUAACACAUGCAAGUCGAACGCCCCGCAAGGGGAGUGGCAGACGGGUGAGUAACGCGUGGGAACAUACCCUUUCCUGCGGAAUAGCUCUGGGAAACUGGAAUUAAUACCGCAUACGCCCUACGGGGGAAAGAUUUAUCGGGGAAGGAUUGGCCCGCGUUGGAUUAGCUAGUUGGUGGGGCAAAGGCCUACCAAGGCGACGAUCCAUAGCUGGUCUGAGAGGAUGAUCAGCCACAUUGGGACUGAGACACGGCCCAAACUCCUACGGGAGGCAGCAGUGGGGAAUAUUGGACAAUGGGCGCAAGCCUGAUCCAGCCAUGCCGCGUGAGUGAUGAAGGCCUUAGGGUUGUAAAGCUCUUUCACCGAUGAAGAUAAUGACGGUAGUCGGAGAAGAAGCCCCGGCUAACUUCGUGCCAGCCGCCGCGGUAA
rnacentral:rRNA from 1 species